rnacentral:rRNA from 1 species
AUGCCAUUUACAUAUGUUUAUUCAAAUACUUUGAUAUAUUCCCGCAAUAUAUAUACUUUGAUAUGUAUUAGCAGUCAAAACUCGGGACAUAUUUCAUUAAGUAAUUUAUACGAGUCAUUGGUCUUUCUUUCAUGGGCUCUGUAUAUACUUCAUACAAUUCUUAUAAUACAUAAGUCUAACAAUGAUUUAAGCGCAACAACUACGCCAAGUACCAUUUUAAUACAAGGCUUUGCCACAUCGGGGCUUUUAACUAAAAUGCACCAAUCCACGAUACUAGUACCUGCUCUACAAUCUCAGUGGUUAAUAUUUCAUGUCUGUAUGAUGAAAUUAAGCUAUGCAACUCUUUUGUGUGGAUCCUUAUUAUCUGUUGCUAUUUUAAUCAUUAGAUUUUGAAAUAAUUUCUAUUUCUUUUUUAAAAAUAAAAAUAUUUUAAAUAAAACAUUUGAUGCAUCAAAGACCAUGCAAAGUUAA